GACAGAGGCCCCAAGCGUUAGUCGGAAUUACUGGGCUUAAAGGGUGCGUAGGCGGGCGUGUAAGUGUUCUGUGAAAUCCCCGGGCUCAACCCGGGAACCGCAGGGCAUACUGCACGUCUCGAGGAAGCUAGAGGCCGGCGGAACGAUCGGUGGAGCGGUGGAAUGCGUAGAGAUCGAUCGGAACGCCAAGGGUGAAGACAGCCGGCUGGGGCUUUCCUGACGCUGAGGCGCGAAAGCCAGGGGAGCAAACGGG
rnacentral:rRNA from 1 species